rnacentral:sRNA from 1 species
CUUGGUCAUUUAGAGGAAGUAAAAGUCGUAACAAGGUUUCCGUAGGUGAACCUGCGGAAGGAUCAUUAUUGAAAACAAGGGUGUCCAAUUUAACUUGGAACCCGAACUUCUCAAUUCUAACUUUGUGCAUCUGUAUUAUGGCGAGCAGUCUUCGGAUUGUGAGCCUUCACUUAUAAACACUAGUCUAUGAAUGUAAAAUUUUUAUAACAAAUAAAAACUUUCAACAACGGAUCUCUUGGCUCUCGCAUCGAUGAAGAACGCAGCGAAAUGCGAUACGUAAUGUGAAUUGCAGAAUUCAGUGAAUCAUCGAAUCUUUGAACGCAUCUUGCGCUCUCUGGUAUUCCGGAGAGCAUGUCUGUUUGAGUGUCAUGAAUUCUUCAACCCAAUCUUUUCUUGUAAUCGAUUGGUGUUUGGAUUUUGAGCGCUGCUGGCUUCGGCCUAGCUCGUUCGUAAUACAUUAGCAUCCCUAAUACAAGUUUGGAUUGACUUGGCGUAAUAGACUAUUCGCUAAGGAUUCGGUGGAAACAUCGAGCCAACUUCAUUAAGGAAGCUCCUAAUUUAAAAGUCUACCUUUUGAUUAGAUCUCAAAUCAGGCAGGAUUACCCGCUGAACUUAAGCAUAUCAAUAAGCGGAGGAAAAGAAACUAACAAGGAUUCCCCUAGUAGCGGCGAGCGAAGCGGGAAAAGCUCAAAUUUGUAAUCUGGCGUCUUCGACGUCCGAGUUGUAAUCUCGAGAAGUGUUUUCCGUGAUAGACCGCAUACAAGUCUCUUGGAACAGAGCGUCAUAGUGGUGAGAACCCAGUACACGAUGCGGAUGCCUAUUACUUUGUGAUACACUUUCGAAGAGUCGAGUUGUUUGGGAAU